CUUAAUCAUGGCGAAAAUAUUAAAUUUUCUCUAUACAAUAAGCAUAAACUGUGCUGUGACGCUCGACUCAGACGAAUAUACCAACAAAACGUGUCCGUGAAAUUUUUCCCUUAUAACUUAGGAACAAAGCCACGUACGAAGGUAGUGCGAAAAGGUAGAGUAGAGAUUUUUAAAGGCAAAAAAGCUGAAUGUAAAGAAAAAGCGCAGGAUAGAAAUUUACAGGUCAUUGUGUGCUUUGCCUUGCUGCCCUCGCUGCAAACUGUGCCACCAAGCAAGCUGGCGAUAUGCAAUACGUUUUCAAGUUUAUUAGAAUUCACAAUAAAACCCAUUAAAAUGAAAUUCUGCUGCGAGUGUCACAAAACGAUUGCGAUAAUGGCAUACAAAUGGGCAUGGACAAAUGAAAAGCGCUAGGUUAUGUGUUGAUGUAUUGGUGUGUCGGACGAAAAUAGAUAAAAGUAAUUAAUCAAACACACAGGAGCAGGCGAGGGAAGUCAAGAGCAGCAGGAAGUGCGCAACGCAAGGAAAGAUGUGAAAAAGAUUGUGCGUGAAGUGAAAAGGAUAAAGCAGACGAAGGACAGAACAAAGAAAAAUGUCAUUCGAAGAAUACGAGGAAUACGAGCAUAGGGAGCCAUAAGGAAGAAGAAAUUGAAAUGGCAUACGUACGUACCGAUGUAUAGUAUAUGAACAGAAGAUAAAACAUGUGAAAGAUAAUGAACACGAACAAAGCGAACAAAGUGCAUAGCAAUGAAAAGCAGUUGGCGGAGGAUAGGAAAAGCUGUCGCAGAGAGAAACGAAGCUAAACGAUUCCAUCGAGCUGAGGAGAGAGUUUCAUUUUACUCCAAUCGUCGUCAUCAUCAUUGCCAUUUCCCAGUUGAAAGCUGCGCCACCCGCACUUCACGUUGCCAGCCAUACAUGUUAGCCAACGAGAAAUUCCCAGUAAAUUACACUCUUCACCAUGCUUUUGAAGCUCUUCGACAGCUGGUCCCCAACACGUGCCAAUGUCACCAAUUGUCAACAGCAAACGCAACAACGUAAAUAGUUGUCACAAAACUACACACACACACACACGAGCAUACGCGUACUGACACAGCCACUGCGCUGCUUUAUCUUCGCACACCAUCUGUCACAUAGCAAAAAAAAAAAACAAAAAAAAGAGGUAGAGUCGCAGUGCUCAAUUGGCUUUACCUUCAGCAUUGCCCACAGAACUAACAGCGCGCAGUCAGUAGUGAGCAUCCACUCUGCUAAGUAGCAUUGCAUCGUCAUCGUCAUCCGCAUUCGUCAGACAACAAACAGCAACACGAAAACGCUUGGCGCCGAUAAAGUUCUAUUCGGCUAACGAAUGGAACAAACAUACCCACAUACUUACGAUUGAGAAUGUGAAAGUGUUGUAAUUGUUAGUGAAGUGGUAGAUAAUUCAUCGAGCCAACAAACAAGCACACACCCACACUCUCUACCAUGGAGUAGUAGACAACCGUUACAAAUAAAACAAUGUACGCGCGCGCCUAAAAGUGGAUAUGCCAAAAAUGCAGUAGUUAUGUGAAAAAAUAUCAAACAAAUAGUACUUGCGAAAAUAAAUUCGCUUGUAAAUAUUAAUUAUAUUUGUAAAUGAGUAGUGAAAGAGUUUAUGUUUACUAAAACAAAAAAAAAAAUUAAAAAUUAAAAAUAAAAAUAUAAUAUUGUAUAUACAAAUACUGCAUACGAAUAUUGUUUAAAUAAUUGCAUUAAUUAUAUAAAAUAAAUAAGUGAAAUUUAUUAUCAAAGACUUAACGGAUUACUGAUCAAAUAAGUAAAACUAAUAUAUACUUAUAAGUAUAUAUAUGCAUAGGACGCCUAGGUUUAUGCUGUAAAUUCAAAAGUCUUAACUAACAACGAAUGUUCACACAACGCCGUCUUUAUGGAUAUAGGUAAUAAAAGUUAAAGUGCAGAGUUCUGCAAGCAAGGUGCCCAUCAUCCCCAAUAAAUAGGAAAAAGUAAAAAGGCGAAGAUAAGCUGCAUAAAAGCCAGCUCUCCAGCACAAAACCCAAUAUCUGCAAGUUAAAAUUGCUGCAAUAGCGGACUUACGCACCGAUGAUUGAGCACAAACCAAUACCAGCGUCUGCAGAUAUGCAUGUAUGUGUGCAGCAACCAUAACAAUAGUGCAAACGUUAAGAACGGAGAAAAAUGAAAACUAAAACAACAAUUGCAACAAAUGGAAGGGCACAAUAGCAGGUAUUGGAAAGUACUGUAAAAGAGCUAAAAUACGAGACACAAUAACGGAAACAAGAUUCAAUUUGCGUAUACAAGCAAGCAUACACACAGACAUACAGACACGCACUCACACUCACAUAUGUGCAUCGGGCAAACCGAUACUAAGCGAUACAAGCCCGAUGAGCUGAAAGCACUACAAGGAUUUUGCAAUAAAAAAUUGCAAAUUUCUACAACAACAGCAACAACUACUUACUGCAACAGCAAGAGCACAGACCAUAAACAAAGGACAUCAGCUAGCGAUCAAACGACUGACAGUUGCCCAAGGGAAGGCAGAUAGCAACAACAAAAAUAGCAAGCAAUGUUGUGGAAUUUCGCCAAAUUAAUUAACAAAGGACAUAACUCAACGAAUAGCAACAAAAAAAGUCCCAAAACAAAAGCAACAACAGCCAAAGACACGAAAAAGUAGCAGCAUAACACAAAAUAGUUCUAACAAGCAGAAUUAGUAAGCCUGGUAAUAAAGCAACCCCGAUAAAAACAAGCAAACAAAAAAGGAAACUAGCAAACAACAAAAAACAAAUAGAUGAUCUUGCCUUGGACUGUGAUGACUACGUAAUGGAUGACCCAGUAAAACCAAAAACAAAUGCACCACAUACAAAAAACGAUAGGCAACACUGACGACCAGCGAGAACUACAGUGCUAAGGACUAAGCAGAUAAGUAGGUGGAAGAGGAAGAGGAAGCACAAUAAAAGAAACUGAGCACCUUGUAAAGACAUAAAGCGGUUUUAAAAAUAUAUUUUGUUUAAAAUAUUUGAGCUACGAAAAAUAGGUGCAAAGGAGCAGCGCAUUACGGUGUGGAAGCAGCGAAAACUAUGCUAAAACUGCAAAAGCUUUAAAAUCUUAGUAAAUAUUACAAAAAAAAAAAAAAACAUAUUAAAAUUAUUAUUAAAUAACUUUAACUUAUCCAUAUAAUUAAUUAUAAAUCUGAAAAAAUAAAAUAGAAACUACUAUUUCGAUAAUUAUAUAUACAAAUAAAGAUGUAUGGGAAAAGAUAUUUAAAAAAAUACAAUUAAAGCAACCAAAAAAUUAUUAAAAACAACAAGAAUUAAAUCGGCACUCGCUCAUCUAAUAAAAAAAUAAACACAACUAGCAAAAAGUCCGAAUAUAAUAAGCAAAAGAAGAGGCAAACCCAUAAAAGAAGCGCAAGUAGAUAACCACAAAUAUCCAAAAACACAAAAAACUAGUAAAUUCAGCAUUACCAGCGUCAGUAAGUCGCUGCAACAACAACUUCUGCAAAAACAAGCAAAACGGGAACUGCCCCAGCCCAUGAAAGAAGUCACAUAGGAAUACAAAAAAACCAAAAGAAAAAAACAAAAAUUAUCAAAUCGAAAAAGGGGAACAGAGGAAAUUGUAAACUGAAUCAACGAAAUCAUUUCUAUAUGAAUUUUUUCACAUUUCAAAGCCUUAGUAAACUUUAAGCUUUAAGCUAUAUUAGAAGCUCUACAAAACUCAACUUGCAAUUGCCCAUAGCUUCACGAGUUAAGUAUACGGGACUUACGUCACGCGCCUAAACACAACACACAUAUACACACCCACUCAAAAGCGAAUUUCCAGCGGCGUGUGUAGAAAAAUGGAUGAUAUGCCGGAUUUGUCCCACUUAACGCCCCAUGAGCGUAUGCAAAUCGAAAAUGUUCUUAUGCGACAAAAGCAGGAAGAGGAGGCGCACAAUGAGAUUAUGCGACGUAAACAAGAUGAGGUCGUCUCGCUAGAAAUGCAAAUACGUCAACGCUCAGAGGAGCAAAAGAAAUCGGGCAUCGAAUUGGGUGCAAUAUGCCACAUUUGCCUUCAGACGAAAUUCGCCGAUGGAAUCGGGCACAUUUGCCACUACUGCAACAUUGUGUGCUGUGCGCGAUGUGGCGGAAAAGUGACACUUCGCAGCAAUAAAGUGAUUUGGGUCUGUAUACUGUGCCGUAAAAAACAAGAAUUACUUUCAAAGACUGGGCAAUGGAUGAACAAGGGUCAGCAACAGGAUAGUUUCCUGCGACGCAUUGAGCCUGAUGGCAGUAGUGAUAUCUCGCAGCAGGCCAUUGUGGAUCCGCAUGAUACGCUCGACAAGCGCCCUAAGUUGGAGCGAACGCGUAGCGCUGCCGAAAAAGAGAAUCUGCCAAUGCAACGGGCGGGCAGCGUGCUGCGGCGUCAAUACUCACAACAGGAGGCGCCCACAAAUCGGCGCAUGUCGACAACCGACAGUGGUGUGGAUGUUAGUCCCGGCCAACAGCGUCAAAGGCCCAUGAAUCAACAGCAGCCAAUGCAACAACAAUAUGGAACACAAAGUGGACAACAAAUUGGAGGAGGAGGAGGAGGAGGAGGGCAACGCCCAUAUCCGGAGGAUGAUCCGCGCUAUUACAAGGGUGAAUUGGACGGCCUGAUGCGGCAACAUCCACAUCUCGCACAUCCUAGCCAACUGCAAAAGCAGCAGCAGCAACAGCAACAGCAAAGCUAUCAGCAGCAGCAGCAGCAGUCACAUCUGCAGCAACAACAACAGCAACAGCCGCUAGCACAGAAAGCGCAAUAUCAGCAUCAACAACAGCAAAAGCAACAUCAGCAGCUGCAGCAACACCAACAGCAACAGCAUCAUGGGCAACAGCAGCGUGCUUUGCCACCACAUCAGCAGCACCUGCAACAUCAGCAACAGCAGUCGCAGCAUUCACAACACCACCAAGCACAGCCGCAACCGUUGCGUCCGCAAAUGCAGCCACAUCACCAACUGUCGGCACAAACGGCCGGCGGCAUGGCGCAGCAACAGCAUCAGCAACAGCAUCAGCAGCAUCAGCAACAUCAGCAACAUCAGCAACACCAGCAGCACCAGCAACACCAGCAGCUUCAACAGCAUCAGCAUCAACAACAACAACAGCAACGGCUUCCACAUCAACACUCCUAUAAUCCACAAACGGCACAGCGGUCCGCGCCCUCCAUGGGCGGCGGAUCUUAUCAGAAGCCAGCGCCAAUAUCGCGUAAUCUCACGAUUAGCGGUGGUCAUGCCAUGGAUACUGCAACUUACCCUCAAGCACAACAACAACAACAACAGCGACGACCAAUAGUCGGCGGCCAAUAUGGACCGCCACAGCAGCGCUCGUUUAGCAGCUCUGAGGAGGAGAUCCAAGCGCAUAUGUUGGCGCCACAAUCGGCUGAAUACGACUACGACGGCGUCCUACGUGAACCGUGGAAACAGCAGCGCAGCCUCAACGAGCGUGAUCUCUUAAGUGUGACAAAUUCAUACGGCGCCAACGACUACCGCCUGACCAAUACGAAUCGUUUGUACUCUUCUGCCGAUCGUGAUCGCUACGACUUGCAUCGCGAACGCCUAGAACGAUACCCAUUAACGCGUACCGCACGACUGGAUGUGCAGCAGCACAACACCUACAAUCGCACAAAUCACGAUCGACACCAGACGAUCGCUAGUAGUGGAGCGCUGUAUACGGCGCGACGUGCGCCCACAUUAGCCACGGCUACGACAACUACUGGCGGCGGUGGUAGCAGCAGCAGCAGCGCCGGCAGCUACCACCAACACCACCAUCACAAUCAACAACAACAGAAGCAGCAGCAGCAGCAUCAUAUAAAUCCCCAAAUUGUGAUUGACGAUAAACCAUUGCCGGCCACUGCUUAUGAUCGCUACGGCAGCGCGCUGGGUACGCGCGGCGGUGAGGAGGGUAGUGCAAGACGCAUUGGUGCUGCUGCCACUGGUAGUCUUGGACGUGAGCGCAGUUUAAUCGCUGACCCAUAUUGGGAAGAAACCAUUACGACUGGAAGUGCAGCACAGGACUCGAGACGCUAUACGGAACGUAGAAUAAAGAAAACGGUGCGCUUUGAUGGGCACGAUGAUCCAUUGGUGACAGCCACAAGUGUCAUAACCGGCCCACUGCCACCGGUGACAACACAAAUUCUGCCUUCAACGGCUGUGGACGUGGGUGCGGCCACCAUACUGACCAGCGCCAAAUUGGGCGCAAACGCAAACACUGCCAAUACGAUAAGCAUUUCGGAUGCGGCUGCCGAUUGGGCGCGUUGGGAUGCUGAACGGCAGGGUAGCCAGGAUUCGGCAACGAAGGAUUCUGGCAUCGAUACAAGCAGUACGUUCACGAGUAGCGAAGACUCGAAUCGUGGCGAAGGGCCAAAGCAACCGGUGAAUUGGCAAAUAUCCGCGGAUAAUACUCGCAUGAUUGGUCACAUGAUAUUACGAAAGUAUUACGAUGGUGAGGAUAUUCUUGGCUUAAAAGUCAUAGGCGGUCAGCAAUUUACAACGUCUCCAUCGGCAACAGCGGACGCCAGUGGAAAUAGUGAGAUCAUCGGUUGUGGUGCGAUCGUGGAAAAAGUUAAACGCGGUUCGAUAGCGGAUGUUGAAGGACAUAUACGACCAGGCGACGAAAUCAUCGAGUGGAACGGUCGAGUGCUGCGAAAUAAGUGCGCCGACGAGGUUUAUCAGAUAAUCGACGAAAGUCGCUUGGACGCACAAGUCGAAUUGGUCGUUUCACGCCCCUUGGCCACCAACGCUGUCGGUAGCAAUGCGGUACGCAGAGGAGGAGGCCAUCAGCAACAGGGCGCCGCCUUGCACAACCCAACUCUCACAAGCACUAUUGCCAACAGUGCUGUGGUCAGCAGCGGCGGACGCUAUUUUUCACGAAAAGCGUCCACUGCUUCCGAUGCUAUCGAUAUCCAUCGCGACAAGCCGAGUGUUCUAAUCACAUCGCCCGGUUCGCCCGAUCUACACGCCACUGGCGGCGGCGCGCACACCUUGCGGCAGACGAAUGUGCAACAACGUGGCUACAGCGGCGGCGCCGGUACGUAUCAACAGCAUUCACAGCAUCAGCAACAGAAGCAGCAACAGCAGCAGCAACAGCAGCAGCACCAGCAGCAUAAUAAGCAGCACCAACGGCUUGGAGCGAACGCCGCGAACACAGCCAGUGCAACAGCAGCCGGUACACAAGCCACAACGACGGCGGGCCACCAUCAUCACUGUCACCAGCUACCACCGCCACCGCACACGCAUCCACAUGCCGCCGCACAUCACUUGCCCACUGUGGGUAUGGCGCAUGCAUUGCCCAUGGCUGUCGAGGGUCGGCUACAGAUGAAACUCGGCUACGAUCAGAACACCCUGCAGCUGAUAGUGACGCUCGUCUGUGCGACGGGGCUAACAUUGCGACAAACCGGCGCCGCACGCAAUCCUUAUGCAAAAGUGUUCCUUCUACCCGAUCGGGGUACAAAAUCGAAAAGACGCACCAAAACCUUAGCGAAUACUUGCGAACCGCGCUGGGGCCAAACGUUCGUUUACUCGGCGCUACGACGUUCCGAUCUCACCGGCCGUUUACUCGAAGUGACCCUGUGGGAUUAUGUGCGCUACGGUGCUAAUGACUUUAUCGGCGAAGUGGUCAUUGAUUUGGCGCAUCAUGUGCUCGACGAUGAAGCGGAAUGGUACCAGCUGCAGCCGCAUCAGGACACUUCGUAUCUCUUGCAUCACGACGACCAAAGUGAAGCGGACAUUAUGAUUUUGACACCGACAGAUCAUUUAUCACCACCCAGCACAACGUCACGUCUAAGCGACUCCGAUACGACGUCUGAAUGUGACAUCGAUGGACUGACGCCGGGACGUGAUGGCGCAAGCAUUUCCUCAUUGGGCAGCUCAUCAAGUCCACCACCAGAGAUCGACUUGAAUGAACGUCGUUCGAGACGCGACAUGUCACCUCAAGGUCGCAAGCGGGUUGCUGGUAUGGUAGCGCGUGAUUAUCGCACGGUAUCUGGCAUUGGACAAAGUUACCACAAUCAGCAGGUGAGCACAGGUUAUUUGCGUCGCAAUGGCGCCAUUACUGGCCCUAGUGGCAUGAGCCUCAGCCAGCGCAGUCACUCUGCCGCACCGACUGACAGCUAUCACGGUGUGACCGGUAGCGGUCACAGUUACUAUCGCAGCAGCAGCCCGAGACGCGGCUCUCUCUCGCCGCCCGACGACCGUUACAUAGACUAUCCAGUUCUUCCAAUACACGCAUCUGGCUCAGCGUACGGCCAUCCAUUGCCAGGUGGCGCAGGUGCGUUAGCAGCCAACGCAGGCGGCGCUGCCUUGGGUGGAGUGGGAGGUGGUGGUGCGGCUGUAAUCGGCACAGGUUCUGCGCAGCAGGCACGCUUUCAGUCGCGCUCCGCAACUGCCACGCCGACGGGCUCGCCCAAGAAGCGACAACUGCCACAGGUGCCGCAAACUUCUCGCAGCGCUAUGCUACGUGAUCGACUGGGCCAAGAGUUCGAUGAGCGUCCGGGCGGCGGACGUUUUGGCCGUCAUCGUACACGUCAAAUGCACCAUCAGGCGACGUAUCGUAGCACCGGCAUGGGUGGAUGGGAGCGCCACUACACUGGGCUUUCAGACAGCGAUCUGCACUCGAUGGAGACGCGCGUACGACCGCGUCACUCGCUCUCCCCCGACAAAGACUUCAUGGGUGAAUUCGGAGACUCCGAUAUGGAAUCGGUGGUUAGCGUGACUUCGAGCGCCUUCUCCACACAAUCGGAACGGCCGCGCGGCUCACGCGGUCUAAGCUUACCGCGCAACUGGCGCACUCUGUACGGUGCCGAUCCAAUGCCUGGCGCCACCUCCACCACGCUUGCUGGCCACCAUGCACCUGCUCGUGGACGUGGCUUCUUUGAACGCUAUCGCGCCAAUACAAUUGAGGUCGAUGAUUGUGAUUUUUUACCAACCAGUCUAACCGGGCCGUCAUCACUGUAUGCCACAAUGCAAUCGCCGCCGCACCUCAAUACCGUCUCACAGCAAAUGUUGCUGCUGGAACAGCUGGAGCAACUGCAACAACUCGCAGAGUUGGCAGCUGCCGAUUCGCCUCCGAACACUGCAACACUGGGAGCGGCGUCUAAUCCACACAAUUUGUUAAGUGCAACUGCGACAAAUACUCCGCCACACCACUUGUUACCACCACACCGACAAUUGCAAUUGCAACAACAGCAUCUACAAGAACCAAUACAACUGCCAAGCCAACUAAUAAUGACCGACAAUAGCGGCAAUCUAGUAGUCGACCAGUACAUGCUCGAUGUGGGCGCUGAUCCGGGUCUGCUGUUAAUGGAGCCAGCGGGCGUAACAGUGAUACCGCCGACUCCGCCACCUACAUUACCGCCGCCGCUGCCGCCACCAGCGCACACAGUCAGCACACAACUACAACUGCAACAACAACAACAGCCAUCACAUUCACAGCCACACCCUCAUGCAUUUCACCCAAAUCAGUAUCCGCCCCACAUACUGAAUUUCACACAUUUCCCCGAGUUUUUAACGCAUGCUGCCGAUUACAGUCCUUUCGUCGAAAAGGUUUUUCACCGUGAUAGCUCUCUAGGUUCCAGUAGCCAUUAUCCAUUCUACGAUCACAUGCAAAACAUCACAUCGUCAGUAGCAAAUUUUUUUCGCCAUAGCUCGGGCUCAACACUCACCACACCUACUGCCGCCGCAGUCAAUUCACCACAUCAGCACGCUCAUUCCGUUUCAUCGUCGCCCUCAUCGUACAUAGCCUACGUACGCGAUCAUUACGACAACACCUGCAGCCACUGCCAAAACGGUAGCCAGCCGGUCGUUCUAUCGACCAAUGCUGCACUCACUACACCCGGCAUUGCCAUAGGCGCUUGCGACAAUCCAUUCUGCAUAGCAGAGUCCCAUCCUCAUCCGCAACAUCAUCCAGUCUCUUAUCCUUAUACAACCGAGCAACUUCUACGUAGACCGUCAUUGUCCAUGUAUCAGCCAUCAUCUGAGCCUUCACUGCCAACUAUGGAUCCGGCAAUAUGCGGCGAAUGUGUGGAUCAGCAUUUCGUGAGCGGUUUUACCGCACCGCAAAUUGACUUGGGCGCUGUGCCCACCUAUCAUGUGCACACUCCAACGCCGACGGCGCACAAAAAGGCAAAGUCCUCACUAGCCCCGCCCCCUCAACUGCCCACACAAUCGGUGUUGCGUCUUUCGCGACAAUUGAGCGAAGAUGCGCUUGUGACGGCUGUGCCCAUCGCCGAGUCAAAAGCGCAUCCUACUUCCAUACUUAAAAAGCCGAAAGUGGGUGCACCGACGGGCACUUUAGACCGGCGAAAAAUGUUUCAUGAGGGUCAGUCACGCUCUUUAGAUUACGAUGAUUUGCAUGCAAAAAGUUGGGGCCGCCGGCGCAUAAGAUACGAAGAUGAGGUUUAUAACCCUCCACUAGAAGAGCUUUCGCGUCGGUAUGGUUCAGAAACGAACAUUCGGCAGUCUUAUAUGGGUGCCAAUGUAGACGCUGUCAAUCCUCUUAGUCACUCGCAUUUCCUUGUCACGGACGAUAAAAUCGUCACCAUAACCUACGAUUCUGAUGUGGGUUGGACACGUCGUGGUGUUGCACCGUCUGUAUUCCACGAUCCCAGACAUCGCUUCGAUGGUCGCGAACGUAACCAUAUGUCCCUUAAUUUACAACGUACCAACCAGGAAAAGCUCUAUGGAGCCGCACUGCCAUACCAAAAGCGACGUCGCAAUUUACCGCAUCCACCAAGCGCACAAAAUGCUCACAAUUUCUCGCCUGUGGAAGGCUACGACGACGAUCCCAUGUUAAUGGACCCUGCCACACAUUCGACUGCUACGCUGCCGCCACAUAGUGGCGAACCACCCAUGAACGGCACUGGCUCCGCGGAACGACCGGGUCCCAUUGGCGAACAUCGCGAUCAACGCGACCCACGUGACCCACGCGAUGCUCGCGAUCCGCGCGAUCCCAGUCGCUCAGCAGGGCCGGGCUCGUCACCUAGUCAACCACGUCAUUCAUCAAUUGUCUCGAAGCGCAGUAAAUCAUCGAUGGCCACCGGUGGUGGUCAUCGCACACGUGUAGAACAGUUACAGCAUGAAUCGGGCAGUGAUCGCAGUAAUCUCGUUAGUAUAAAUGACCAACCCGAAUAUUUCGAAUACGAUGAUUAUGGCGAUCCCUACACAGACCCGCACACUAGUCGUAAUUAUGCAACAACAAAUGCAAGUAGUGGUAGUUUUGUUAGUAGUAGUGGUAGGCAAAAAGGGAAAGAAGUUUCAUACGGCGCGGAACAACAGACGAAAUCUAGUAGUGGGAGUGGUAGUGGUGGUGGUGCUUCUUCUACUGCUGCUGCUGGUAAUAUCGUCGUCGGUGGUAAUAUUUCUAAUAAUGCUUCUUCUUCCUCUUUUGCAAAUUCCCAUCAUGGUGUCGCUAACUCCACAUCACCUAAACGUGCCUCAUUGAAACAUACAAAUACAACUAACGACGCUAACCUAAACGUAAACGUUGACGGAACAACAACUACAACAACAACUACCAUACAAACAACAACUACAUCCACAAACAUCACAACCACAUCAUCGUCGAAUACAACCACGGCAACAACAACAACAAUUGCAACCUCAACAACAACAAAUCCUGCUGCCACAACAACGACAACAACAACGAAUAUUGGUGAUACAACGACGUCCGCUGGUGAUGGCGCUACCGCGGAUGAUGCCGAUGCGCCACUCGACGUCAUCGAUUGGGAUGCAAUCGACGCCAUGUUGGAUGACGAUUUUAGUGAAUACGACAAGGACAAAAAUGGUGGUGGUGAGGAAAAGAAGGAUGAUGCCAACUUCAGCCAAAGUGUAGACGAGAAAGUUGAUGGCAGCUUAUCCGAUACUGCAACGGACCGAAAAAAGGGCGCUGUGGAGCAAGAACGUUCGCCUAAAGGCGGCAGCGGUAUGGGUAAAAAAUCGAACUCCACCUCGCAGUUAUCAGCCACAGGUCGUAAAAGACGUAUGGGCUUUGGAAAGAAGGGUAAGAACUCAUUUACGGUGCAUCGAAGUGAAGAAGUUCUGCCAGGUGAGAUACGUGGGGCGCUGUCGCGCGGGUCGUCAUCUGAGGCCGAUGGUGGCGAGGCAUUGGCUGAUGUCGGAGCCGGCACUGGUGGGGACAGAUUUUCACCUUCGCUGCGUGGUAAUGACGGCCAGUUGUCGGAGUUCAUAGAUGGCCUGGGUCCCGGACAGUUGGUUGGACGACAAGUGCUGGGCGCGCCAUCGCUAGGUGAUAUACAGUUAUCAAUGUGCCAUCAAAAGGGUUUCUUAGAAGUAGAAGUUAUACGUGCUAGAGGCUUACAGCAAAAGCCGACGUCGAAAAUGCUUCCCGCUCCUUAUGUCAAAGUGUAUUUGGUUUCUGGUAAACGAUGUAUUGAUAAAAUGAAAACUUCGACUGCAAGGCGCACAUUGGAUCCGCUAUAUCAGCAGCAAUUGGUAUUCAAGCAGCCAUACCAGGGAUGCAUCCUACAGGUGACUGUUUGGGGUGACUACGGCCGCAUUGAGAAGAAAGUUUUUAUGGGUGUGGCUCAAAUAAUGCUCGACGAUUUAAACCUAUCGAAUAUCGUUAUCGGCUGGUACAAACUCUUUGGAACAACAUCACUGGGACGCCCUAUUGUUUGGCCCGGUGAAUCGGUCAUACUAGAAGAGGAAGGCGAAGAGAUGCAGGUGAACUGAGUGAGUGGCUACCACAAAGCCCAUAUAAGCACACAGACAUCUUGGCGAACACUUAUAACCUCUGCAUAGAGCUGCUUCCACUGCAGCGCCGCGAUGUUAAGUCGCUUGCAUAGCUGAGCAUGGAAAAAACAUACGAGAGAGAGAGCAGAGAAAGGAGAAAAAAUAAACAAAAAGAGUCGCAUGCCGCACGAACGAUGACGCAGAGCGCUUAGCCGAAUUAUCGGGCGGCUCAAGUUAUAAAAAGUGGGCGUGUGCGUGGGCGCAGAGUGGGCGCACGAAAGUGCCGAUGGCUUUGGCGUCGAUCGAGAGCAGCUCAACGGAAACUUUUUGAAUUUAAACGAAGUAGAAAGCACACAAACAAGACAAAACAAAAACAAAAAAAUGCAUAUAAAUAUAUUUAGAAUAUUUUUAAAUUAUGUUUUUUUUAGCUAAAUAUGAGAUAAUGAUUAUGACUAUGUAGAUGAAGAUGAAGUUGAAGAUGAAGAGAACGAAAAAGAGAAAGAUGAUAGCUACGAUUUUGGUGAUUGAUAGAUAUGUAUCAUAGUGAUCGAGGUGUAAUGCCGACAAUGACGAUUUGGAUGUUGAUGAUGAUUCAGAUGAUGACAGAUAAAAGAUGCAUUUAAUACUACAAAAUUGUAAAAUAAUACAUACACACAUACAUAUAUAGAGCAAAGGAGAUGCGUAAAAAGGAUUUAUUAUGAAAAAAAUAUUAAAACAAAAAAACGAAAGGACGUGAGGUUUUGACGGCAUUAUUUAUUACGUAAUAUUCUUGUAAUCAUAAGUGAAUGAAUAUGUAAAACUAUCGUUAGAAAAUAUGCAAAUGAAAAAAUAUAUAAUAUAUAAAAAAAGCAAAUUAAAAACAAAAAGCAAGAAGAAACAACCUUAACUUGAUUGAGUUUAAGUAAAAACAAAAAGAUAAACGAAUGUGAAUUUUAUGAUAAAUAAUUAUCAAAAACUCGAUCGACACAUAUUUCUAUCAAAAAACCAAAGAAAAAACAACAAAAAAUUGUGCUGAAUAAUAUAUUGAUAUGAAAAAACGAGAAAGCAGAAAAUAAAUAUUUGUAAAUAUUAUUCAAGCGAUUAUGUUUAUGAACUAACACAUAAUCACACACACACUGACAGAGACAAACAUAAGAAAGUAAAUCAAAUUUUCCAAUAUAUUAUUAUUAUUAUGCUUAUUAUUACUAAAAGCUGAUAAUGGAUUGUAAAACCGCAAAGCUAAAAUUGCAGCACAGUUUCUUGCACUGGAGAACCCAGUUUACUUUCAGUUCCAGUUCUUUUUUUUUUAUUCUAAUUCAAAUUCUAAUUUAAAUUAAAAAAAAAGAAAAAAAAACAACUCUUUGGAAAAGUGGCAUCGAACAGCGUUGAAUUGCAUUUCGUAUUCAUGAAAACACCCGCAGCAAAUCAGUUAAUAGUAGACCCACUUGAUUGCAAAGAAGCCGCAUGAGUCAUUAUCAGGUCUCUUCAAAUCGAGUUAGCAUUAUUAAAAAAAUGAUGUUGAAGCAACUGACAUAAAUAAACAACACUGGAAAAGAGCUACUAAAAUUUACAUUUAUUUGGAAGCAAUUUAUGAGUAUUAGUUAGCUCGCAUUCAAACAGAGAAACGUUAACUCGUUACUUGUACUGCUCGCGCUCCAUAAACACCGUUUGUAUUCUCGCUCUUCUCUAUAUUGUUCUUGACUUUCGACUAAAAACUAACAAAUGCAAGGCAUGUGAACACGACGGGUAACGCUAAAAGAGAUUUCUCAAUUCGCGUAAAGCAACAAAACUCUUCCAGCAUGAUGCGGUCUUAUGAAACUCUCUUAAAAUGGCGUUGGCCGGCUGCCAAUGGCAGCAAUGAAAAUAGUAGAAUCUUGCUCUUUGUUGCUGUUUUCACAUGCAAAUGUUUCGUCAAGUGAGCAGAGCCCAGAGAUAGCGAACAGAGAAGUGGCGAAUUGAAGACGCCUAAGGUUCAUCUUAAGUUCUACUUCUUUUUUUUGUUAUGAAUUUUGAAUUAUAACAAAGAAACAAAACAUUUUGUAAAAGUGACAACGAACAGCGCUAUAUUGUAGAUCAGUUAAUAGUAGACCCACUUUUUUGAAAAGAAAUCUCAUGGGUUAAUAUAAUACGCAUAAGACAUACACACAUUUGCAUGCGUGAAAUAGUCUAGGCGUGGAAAAGAAGCGCGCAGUAGGGACUUCUAACUUCAAAGUCGGCUUUCAGGCCUUUGCGACUUACUGUCGAUUAAUAGUUUAUCAACAAAUACCUAAAGAUUAUAUGCCGCCAAGAACAGUCUCCAAUGCUGACCAACUUUCGAUUGCUAAUAGCAGCCUAAUCAAUCUUGAAAUCAAAAGACGAAAGUGGAACUGGAUUGCCGGCGCAGAGGAUGCCCACCUCAAACUUGGAUAUGCACAAUCCUUCGAUGAGAGCUCUUCCCCCAUCACCUGGAACAAAAUUAGACUCAUAGCCUUUUUUCGUCAAUGCUCCGUCUAGGAGUGCAGCGAGAUGUUUUUAGUAUGGUUAGGUUAGGUUAGCCACGUUGCUUGUCUAGGGCAAGACACUCGGUGACACUAAGGUUCAUUUUGAUUUCCAUCCCCUAACUAAGUUACUUAAACCACUUAGAUCUUUUCAAGAAGGUAACCCCUUUUUCUCACGAAUGAUAGAUUACUAGGUUUGCCAUCCCAAGCAAAAUUAGGAGAGUAACUUCGGUUACCUCGUCAUCGGGGAUUCAGCAGCAGAAAUCCGACCGCGUAUUUCACUCCUAUUCGAACACUCGCCCAAUUUAGACUUCAUUUUAUUUUUAUUUUUUCAUUUUUUAUUCACGAUUCUUCGACAUUGUGUAGAAGUGCGCUUACUAUAUACAAGAGGAUACUAAUAAGUAAUUUUCAUUUGAUAAUUUAACUUGUUUUAAGAAGCAUUUAAACAACAUAGCAUGGCGCUUCGCCUGUAAGGUCCAAGUGAGCUGGUUAUACGGACCGACUACCACCAUAACCUAACAAUAUUUGUUAGCAACUUCCAACUUGCAUUUUAUUAUACUAAAAUUACUUUAGCUAUAAAACUGCAUACCAAAUAUUUUCCUAUAAAUUCUAAUUAAAAAUUAAAAUGCUUGAAAUUUAGCUGAAACUUUGUUGGAUUUUUAUUUUUUCUAUAAUUUGGACGUGAAAGAGCUGAAAGUGGGAGGUCUCAUAACGCCAUCCAAACGUCGCUUUAUCGCUACUUGAGGAGUGCCAAAGAGGUACUUCAACCAUUUCCCCUACCUAUCUAACAAAUGAAAAAUAGUCAAAACUGGUCACUAUGUUGAGGCGCUAUAACUUUUUCACGCACUGUACUUAUGUGUAUGUAUAUAACCCGUUAAUAUUUAAGAAAAUAUUUAUUAGCAUCUGUGUCACACUUUUCCAAAAACUUAAAAGAACAACUAUAAGCCUCGAAUAAAUUGGAACAAAUUCUUUGUUCUUCUUUUACUGAAAGAAAAUGCUUGUGAGAAUCUUUUAACUUUGCGGUAACUGUCAUUAAUGAUUAGUGAGUUACAUUUUGUUAUAUUUAUUUUGUCAGUUUUUAUAUACUUUACUUUAUAUUUCCCCGAUAAUAUUAGUUUUAAAUUAGAAUUUUUAAGUUUCUUCAAAUAAUAAAUCAGUGUACAUACAAUAGACAUGUAAAAAAAACCAAAAAAAAAAAACAUAAAAACAUAUACACACACAAUUACACAAAAGCUACAUAAUAGUUUCUUUAUUUGUGUUUUGUAAAAUAAAAUUUAUAAUACAGAUUCAUUAAUAAAAACAAAAACAAUAAAAAAUAAUUAUUAAAAAAUUCAAAGUACCUUAUAAUAGAAUGAGCUGUAAAAACGAUACCUGCUUGAAACUAUAAAACGAAGUGAAAACAAAAAAUAAAUAAAUAUUGCAUCAUAAACCAAAUCAAAUUGCAAAAUCAACACUUUUCGUUAUGCAGAAAAAGUUAUUUUACUUCGAUAGAAAGAGAGAAAACAACUUCUAACCUUAGCUGAUUAAAUUCUUUCGCAAGUUACGUAAAAUGUGCACACUCAUACAUUUACAAAUGUACAUAUAUCAACACAUAUCGUCCCCUUAGUAUAACAAUAGCCUAUGUGCUCAUAGGCUAUUAUUUUUUUUAUUGAAUUUUUGGAUUCUCCAUCGUCGAUUUUAUAUGUGGUCAAAAUUUGGUCAAAUUCUAGUUCCACAAAGUGGGUCAAAACGUCAGUCAAAAAAUAAUAAAUACUUACAGACAUAACGAGAUUUGAGUGAGAGCUACUUUCGACAAAAAGUUUGAAAUUCAUUUUCUCAAAACAUCAAAAAAUGUAUAGGCUAUUUUAAUACUAAGGGGACGAUAUAAACAUACAUGAUUUUUAUAGCCUUCGCAAAAAACCUUUAUAUUUGACAUAGCAAAUUGAGAAGCCCAAAACCAUUUAUUUCCAUACAUAUAAUAUUUACACAUGUAAGUAUGUGCACACAACAGAUAAAAUUCAUGGAAUGCUUGCAACACUUAAAAGUUGCACAGUAAAUAAUUUUGAAAACAUUUUCGGCUUCACUUGAGAUUUAUUCUGCUAUACGAAAUAUUCUUUCAUUAUUUUUACAUAAUAAAUAUUUUUAGUAUUAACAAUUCUGGCGCAAAAUUAAUCACUCUAUAGGAAGAUUUAUAAUAUCUGCAAAUAGUGUCGUACGUUUUUUUUUAAUUUUAACAAUUAGUCUUUAUCUCAUUUACUUCUAAUACAAGGUGGCGCAAAAUUAAUCACGCUAUUGGAAAAUGUAUAGUUUUUUUGCAAAUAUCCUGGUACGUUUUUCAGUUUUGAUAAUUUUUUAUAAUACAAGGUGGCGCAAAAUUAAUCACUAUGUAGGAAUAUUUAUAAUUUUUGCAAAUUGUGUCGGACAUUUGUAAGUUUUAACAUAAUUUUUUUUGUAUUCCCUUAUAAUACAAGGUGGCGCAAAACUAAUCACUCUAUGGGAUAAUUUAUAAAUUUUGCAAAUUGCGUCGCACGUUUUUAAGUAGCAACAUAAUUUUUUUCUCAUUUAAGGUGGCGCAAAAUUAAUCACCCUAUCGAAAGAUGUAUAAUUUUUGUAAAUAUCCUCGGACGUUUUCAAGUUUUUACAAUUUUUUUUCUUAUUUACUUGCAAUACAAGAUGGCGUAAAAUUAAUCCACCCAACCGAAUAAUUUAUAAUUUUUGCAAAAGCCCUCAUACGCCAAUCAUAUUUGAUAUUUGUGAAGUAAACAGCUGCAGUAUACAAGCAAACAAGCAAUGGGACGCGCAAAGAUCUAAAUAAAGGUCACUCAAAAUAUUUUUUUUGAUUUAGUAAAAAUUGUUCAUCGAAAAAUAUUAAUUAUCAAGGAAUAAACUAAAAACCAAUAACAAAACAAAGUUAUUCAAAACCAAAAUUGGGAUAAUUGAUUUCACGCCACCUUGUAUAUACAUAAACGAAAAAUAUGCAAAGACUUUUUUGUUGAAUUUCCGUCGAUAUUAAAAUGCACCUCAGUCAAAUGCGCCUCUUCACUGUUAGGAUAACACAGCGCUUACUUCAAAAAUAAGUUUCGUAAAUUUCUCAACUUUGUUCAAUAGGCAGGCUUGCCUACAAUUUUCUUAAUCACUUAGCAGUCAGACUGCUCUCACUACUCUCAUGCAGUAAAAGCUUUUUUUAUAUACUAUUGAAUGAAUUAAUUAAUGAUUAAAGGCCGUUUUCAAUCACCAAUGUUAAUUUUUCUAUUGUUAGGUCAGACAUAUAAAUAGCUUCCCUCGUAUGAUCAUCAUCAUUGUUGGCUGGACUACCCAAUUGCCUCGAUUUCUUACCUGCGUCCUCCAUGACUGAAAUCCCAAAAAACCUGCGACUUCAUCUACACCGUCAAUCCAUCUGCGCGACAGGCGGCCUCUUCUUCUAUGUCUGUGGCGCUUUCCAAAGAGAGCGUGGGUAAUCGGUAUUAGCCUGUAAUAUGUGACCUGCCCACCUCAGUCUAAUGAUCAUUAAUGUGGUUAUUACACGUAGGUAUAGCCAACCAAUUUCGCUUCAGAUAGAUAUUUAACUCGAAGGUAGAGCCAAAAGCAAGGUUUCAAGACUUCCACAUCAUCAUCGAUUCGGUUUGUUCGCAGAGAAUAGCUAACCAACUAAGGAACAGCUGAGUACUCAAUUAAGAUCUUCCUCUUUAAGAAAGCCUUUCUGUGGAGAGUUCAAACGAAAGUACGGCAGGGCGCUAAUGCACCUGCGCAAAAUGAACUAUCAGCGCUACAGAUAGCUGAGAGAUAAGGACGAAGUAGUUAGUGCUAAGUGCUAUAAAUUGGUUGAUGCAGUGAAAAGGUAGUUGUAUGCUCAAUAUGGGCCGAGUUGAAGGUCAGGGAGCAUCUGUGCUUGUGUAGCUGCUAUGCAAUCAAAUGAGGUGAAGCUACAGGUAUCAAAAUGAACUUAUUUGUUAUUUGCGCUGCAUAAAUUAAAUUUUGCCUACUUUUUCUUGAGUGACCGAAAUGAAGAGAAUACAUGCAAGGAGUUCAACAGGCAGUAUCAGAGUUUAGAUUUGUAAAUGUGCGCAUGUAUGCCCUUUGGGUUAAGCUGGAGGCCGAAAAUUUCGUUUAAUUGUCGCUUCAUGAUUCGCAGCUUUGAAAGAGUACCCUUUGCUUUAUUUUUUCCUGUUGCAGGUAUUAGCCAGCAAAUGCAAUUUGGGUGGAGUUUGACUUUUCUUAUUCUGAUUUCGUUAAUUUAAUAAGCAGAUACUUGAAAUUGAAAUUCGAAAAAGGCGAGCCAAGAAGCACCGAGAGAAUGGUCAUUCGAAGCGGUGGAAAGUAAAAGGAAUAAUAGUCAAGGAAGAAAGGAGAGAAGUGGCAGAGAGAUGGGACAGAAUAGGGACAGAGAUAGCUAGUCUCGUGAUAAUUUUGCAGAUUAUUUGGCAAGUCUAAAAAUAUCCUCCAGUUUGACAGAACGAAACUGGAACGAAACCCACUAUUAGUAGCCUUGCUCUAGCAAAGGCAGGAGAGAGAAGCUCUUUGCUAUCUGCUAUCUGCCUCCUCUAAGCAGGCAAAUCGGGUACUCAGUGACUCCAAUGCUGGUCACAUGCUCCGUGUUGUGGACUGUGUCUUGUAAUAAUACCGACCAUCAACCGAACGUCUUUUAUGCCAAGUUUUAAAGGAAAGUUGAACAGUUUUCUCUUCGGGCUUGAAACACAAAACUCAUUGCAGUUCUGCAGCGUUCUAGACUGGACCAUCGCCCUUUAUGUAAAUUGCAUACAUAAUCGCUGAUCCAAUUGAUGAUUCCUGUGUUAAUGAUUCCGAUUAUUGCCGGUGGCAGAUACUUACUUUGUAUUUAGUUUGACACUUGAAAAUGGGUUUUAUUUAAAAUAAAUAGCCACUAAUUCUUAACACGUACACUCAUCACUUUCAUCAAAGAGGUUUUCUACAAAAAACGAACGCACAAAUGAGCAGUGAAAUGACUUUUGAAAAUUUUGCAAAUCAACCAGUUAAACGGCUAGUGUAGUGAACUUACGUAGAUGCGGAUUCACCUAGAGCGAAAAACAAAAAAAAGACUAUAAAAAACCAAAGUGCAUGCAUUCUUACAUACAUACAUUUGUUCAUACAAUAUUUUCAGAAUUUCUCCGUCCAUUCGUUGCAUACUCGAAGGAGAAAUUGUAAACUUAACAGAAUUUUUCGUGAGCACAAAACAUAAGCCAUCCAUUGAGAGCAUCCUACUUACCACAAAAACAAAAGCAAGAGAAAAUAUAAGAAGCACCUACAUACUGAGUGAUUCAGUUAGAUAAACAUACAUACAUACGUACAUACAUACAUGCAUGCAUAGAAACUUAGCUUCACACAUCUAUAUUCUUAUACGUAGUUAAAGUCAUACAAAACACAUACACACACAUACAUACAUGCAUUCAAAGUAUUUAAAGUGCAUACAGAGUUGCAUACGCCAUCACAAACAUCACAGCAUAUAUUCAUAUAUGUAUAUGCAUGUCUCUGUAUAUAUUUUAACGAAAUCAGUGGAAAUGUAUUAAAACUGGUGGCACACAUCCAAAAAAGAAUCAAUAUUUAUCACUUAUGAACGGAAAAAGUUAAAAUCUAGGCACAGCUCGCUUUAAUUUACAUGCAUACUUACAUACGUACGUAAAUUCUACAUACAUACUUAUACAGCAUUGAGAAGUUUUCACACAAAUGUUACAAAUUUAUAAAAGCUUCUAAUGAAAUGUGACAAAAAAACUGACGAAGAGAUUUUAACAGCAGACUUUAUUUUAUAUUAUAAUAUGUCAUGACGUAUGGAACCAUUUACGUACCUACCUACACACACUUGCUGUAUGUAUGCAGUUGGUCAAGUUUCAUGUAGAAUUUUCACGUCAAAACGAAAUCAACUACAGUUAAGAAAAUUAACUCAUUGAAACUUGCGAAGAACUAAAAAGUCUUAUACAAAAUAUUAAAUAAAAGUAGAAAAUUUCAAUUAAGUAAUAAAAUACAUUUUUCCUAUCCCAUAUUUGCUUACAAUUACAUAUGCACACAUACAUACUCACCCAUAUGCAGGCAUAAGUAUUUUAUAGAAGCAGUACUUUGAACAUGACAUCGAGCCCCGUUAAUUUUGUUGUUGUUGUAAAAUGAUAUGUGCGUUUAUUCCAAAAUUUAUACUCGCACGCCGACACAAGCAAAUCCACUGUAGUCCAGAGAGCAUUGAUGUUAAAUGUCAAAUGCUAACAAAACGCGGCUAAGAAAUUUUUGUAAUACCAACACGAGUGGGAGAAAUUUAACAUACGAGAGUUAACAUAACUGAGCAAAGUCAAAAGAAUUAAAUAUGGCGUUUGCAUUGUAAAUGUAGAAUGCAUGUGUGGCAAAAUAAAAUAACAGCAGAACUUGUACAUUUCUCCUGCCUGCUUUUUGUCGUCGGCAUCAAUGUUCUCUGCUAUUACUGUAAUACAUAUUGUUGGUGUAAAACUUAAUUUAUAUUCAAAACUCUUCUCUCCUCCACAACAAACUUUAGCAGCUAAAUAAAUGCAGAAUUUCAAUUAGCAAUUCGAUAAAUACAUGCACAGAUACACUCAUACACACAUACACACACAUGCAUCCAUAUGUAAAUGUUAAAUAUUUUCUUUUCGAUGAAGUUAAGUUUCUAAAUUCACACAAUCAGUAAUCAGCAACAACAAAAAAAUAACAUGCUUACAUAUUUACUUAUACAUACAAACCAGACGGUGAGGUAUUUUUGAAAACAACACAAUAUUUAAUUAUUAAAGAAUGUUUGAAACCAACAAACCAAAAUACACACAUACCAAGAGAAUGAUAGUAAAAACAAAAACAAAUAUUAAAUUGCAUAAUAUUAAUUAUAAUUACACUAUAUUAACUAUAUCUAUCCUUUUCUCUCUCGACGCUAGAUUGAAUGUCGAGAAACGACAAUAAACUGUGAAAAUGUAUUAAGAAACCAAAAGAAAAAAACCCGAAAAAACCAACAAAAAAACUCAAAACUUAUAAAAAUUAUGAUACAAACCAGAACUUUAAUGGCAAACAAAUGAAAAAAAAAAACAAGAAACAAAUAUAUAUACAUACAUAUAUUUAACUUUAAAUCAACUGAUAAAGAUGAAUGAUUAUUAUAAUGAAUUUGAUUAUGAUUAUGAUGACGAUGAAAUUUUCUUGCAACCAAUGCGAAAAUGUAAACAAAAUUAUUAUUAAAUAUAAAAGUGCAUAAAAAAUUUAACAAUGAAAAAGAAAUGAUUAUUACAUAUUAAAUAAAUAAAAAACCAAAUUGUUUUCUAAUAAAGAAAAAAAUAAAUAAAAUUUCC